GACAGAGGGUGCAAACGUUGUUCGGAAUUACUGGGCGUAAAGCGCGUGUAGGCGGCUAUGCAAGUCGGAUGUGAAAGCCCUCGGCUCAACCGGAGAAGUGCACCCGAAACUGCAAAGCUAGAGUCUCGGAGAGGAUCGUGGAAUUCUCGGUGUAGAGGUGAAAUUCGUAGAUAUCGAGAGGAACACCGGGGGCGAAGGCGGCGAACUGGACGAAGACUGACGCUGAGACGCGAAAGCGUGGGGAGCAAACAGG
rnacentral:rRNA from 1 species